CCGGCGAAAACUGCUCGGCUUGGGACCGGGAGACCAGAGGGGUACGUCCGGGGUAGGAGUGAAAUCCCGUAAUCCUGGACGGACCACCGGUGGCGAAAGCGCCUCUGGAGAACGGAUCCGACAGUGAGGGACGAAAGCUAGGGUCUCGAACCGGAUUAGAUACCCGGGUAGUCCUAGCCGUAAACGAUGCUCGCUAGGUGUGGCGCAGGCUACGAGCCUGCGCUGUGCCGUAGGGAAGCCGUGAAGCGAGCCGCCUGGGAAGUACGUCUGCAAGGAUGAGACUUAAAGGAAUUGGCGGGGGAGCACUACAACCGGAGGAGCCUGCGGUUUAAUUGGACUCAACGCCGGACAUCUCACCAGCUCCGACAGCAGUCAUGACGGUCAGGUUGAUGACCUUACUCGACGCUGCUGAGAGGAGGUGCAUGGCCGCCGUCAGCUCGUACCGUGAGGCGUCCUGUUAAGUCAGGCAACGAGCGAGACCCGCACCUCUAGUUGCCAGCAGCAUCUCGCGAUGGCUGGGUACACUAGGGGGACUGCCGCUGCCAAAGCGGAGGAAGGAACGGGCAACGGUAGGUCAGUAUGCCCCGAAUGAGCUGGGCAACACGCGGGCUACAAUGGUCGGGACAAUGGGACGCCACCCCGAGAGGGGGCGCCAAUCUCCUAAAC
rnacentral:rRNA from 1 species